UACAGAGGGUGCAAGCGUUGUUCGGAAUUACUGGGCGUAAAGCGCGUGUAGGUGGCGAUGUAAGUCGGGUGUGAAAUCCCUCAGCUUAACUGAGGAAGUGCACUCGAUACUGUGUCGCUUGAGUGUUGGAGGGGAUGGCGGAAUUCCCGGUGUAGAGGUGAAAUUCGUAGAUAUCGGGAGAAACACCUGUGGCGAAGGCGGCCAUCUGGACAACUACUGACACUGAGACGCGAAAGCGUGGGUAGCAAACAGG
rnacentral:rRNA from 1 species